rnacentral:tRNA from 1 species
GGCCAUGUAGCUCAGUUGGUUAGAGUGUUGUCCUGAUAUGCCAACAUUAUGGGUUUGAUCCCCAAGCCA